AUUGAACGCUGGCGGCAGGCCUAACACAUGCAAGUCGAGCGGAUGAAGGGAGCUUGCUCCUGGAUUCAGCGGCGGACGGGUGAGUAAUGCCUAGGAAUCUGCCUGGUAGUGGGGGAUAACGUCCGGAAACGGGCGCUAAUACCGCAUACGUCCUGCGGGAGAAAGUGGGGGAUCUUCGGACCUUACGCUAUCAGAUGAGCCUAGGUCGGAUUAGACAGUUGGUGGGGUAAAGGCCUACCAAGGCGACGAUCCGGAACUGGUCUGAGAGGAUGAUCAGCCACACUAGAACUGGGACACGGUCCAGGCUCCUACGGGAGGCAGCAGUGGGGAAUAGUGGACAAUGGGCGGAAGCCUGAUCCAGCCGUGCCGCGUGUGUGAAGAAGGUCUUCGGAUUGUGAAGCACUUUAAGUUGGGAGGAAGGGCAGUAAGUUAAUACCUUGCUGUUUUGACGUUACCAACAGAAUAAGCACCGGCUAACUUCGUG
rnacentral:rRNA from 1 species